UACGUAGGGCGCAAGCGUUAUCCGGAAUUAUUGGGCGUAAAGAGCUCGUAGGCGGUCUGUCGCGUCGGCUGUGAAAACCCGGAGCUCAACUCCGGGCCUGCGGUCGAUACGGGCAAACUGGAGUACUGCAGGGGAGACUGGAAUUCCUGGUGUAGCGGUGAAAUGCGCAGAUAUCAGGAGGAACACCGGUGGCGAAAGGCGGGGUCU
rnacentral:rRNA from 1 species